GGACAGAGGAGCAUGGUAGGCUACAGUCUGGCUUUUGUUCCUCCUGAUUCAGUCUUAAUACAUCUGGCUCCUGGAAAACACCUUCUCAUCUUUUAAUGUCCUGCCAGUCCUCUCUUCCCUAAAAGGCAUCACCUCCUCACUUGGGUUGAAUUGGCUACCACAUCUCCUUGUAGUUUGCAUGCCCUCCACAAAUUGGAUGAUGCUGAUCUGCAUUGGUUUGUCAUAGGAGUAUUGUAUUCACCCUGAUAACAAAUCUUGAGGACCUGAAGAGCAAAAUCCAAGCAUGUUGUGGCUUUCAAUAAAUAUUUAUUGAAGAAAUGAAUUGA